rnacentral:lncRNA from 1 species
UUCACUGUUAUACUUGGAGGCCAUGUCACCUGAGAGUCAAUGGGCAACGAUCAAAUUUCACCUUGAGCAGAUUCUUUUGUUUGCUUUUUAGUCACAAAUAGCUUGGCCCUAAGUGGUGGCUCCCAUUCUUGUAAGAUGCGUUUAUUCAUCGUGUAAUCACCAGUUCCCUGUAGUGGGGGCGUGGAUGGAGUGUCAGAGGCUCCUGCUGGUCUUUAGGGUGUCUGGCCUCCAGGAAUCCUAGAGUAAAUUGGGAACUACAGCACUCGAUGUUAGAGUUGUCGUGAAGAUUAAAGAAGGUGACGACUGGACAACUCCCAGCCCAAUACCUGAAACUGUACCAGCACCCAGUGAGCACUGCUAUUCCUGUGACUGCUGCACAUUUGCCUUAUCUCAGCAGUAUGCCUGUGUCACUUUUUUGGCACUCUUUUCUCAUGGGUACAUUCAGAGAAGAGGAAUGUUUGUUCACUGGUGAAGAGAACAUCCCGUGUACUAUCGUGUAGAAGUUGUAGUAGACGCUGUGGUCUUUCCAACAACAAACAAACUGCUGGGACAGGACCCAGGAGGUUCCGGAGGAUCAGGAGGUCCACCUGGGAGAAGAGCUGAUCGGCUAGUAGGAGAGCUGGAAAAGCAACAGACACCUACUUAGUCCCUUCCCUGGGGCCCGGCUCCAGUCUGAGCUGUCACGCCACAGCAAAGGCAUCACUUCAGGACAGCAAAGCCCCUGUCUCCCUCCCUUCCAGCUCCUCAGACUUCACCCUGGUAACACGUUUGUUUAAAAAACAUAUUUUUCCCCCUUGUAAAGAAUCUAGGAUACAAGGGGUCAGCCCAGCAGUUUAGGUAUCAAGAAGAAACUGCUCUCGGAGCUAAAGUAAGAAACAGUGCCUGUCUAUAGCGCAAAUAAAGAGUUGGAACAAGAUAAAAGGCAGUGAUCCUUCACCAGCCAAUCUCCAGGUGGAUCUCAGGAAUCCUGUGUGAUGUGUGACAUCAUCUGGGAAAGCCCCGCAGUUGCCAUGGAGACGCACCUCCCAGGCCUCGGGAAGCUGCCCCACCUCUCUGCCACCUUCUUCCAGACUGGUCAUGGCAGGCUGGCUCUGAUCUGGGUCCCAGACAGAGGGGAAUUGGUUUGCCUUUUUUCUUUUCUUUUCUUCUUUUUUUUCUUUUCUUUUCUUUGUAAACUGCAAUGACCGUGUGUGUGUGUG